GUCGCCAAGGAGUGUAUUGUGACAUGAUUGGUGCAUGCACACUAUCGUCGCCUAGAAACGUAACCUUUAUCGAAGUCACUUUCCAGUAUAAGUCAGACAUUGCACUUUGUGAUAUAGAUGUCCAGACAACAAUAAAGAAAUGGUCACAUUUUUGUGUCCAGUAAUAAGUUGGGUUGGUGAAUUGUGUGUUGGCGUGGGAAAAGAAGAAAAUGGCAAAUAAAUCUGGUAGAAACCUGAAUAAAUCAACCAGUUCAGAGAGACAGUUAAAAGGAAUAUUGAAAUUUCGUCUUCGGAAAAAUAAAAACCACGGAAUGAAGCGAUUAAAAGACCGAAUAAAAACAUUUAAUUCUAAGCAUAAGAGACCAAAUCAUAGAUCUUCAAAAUCAAACAGUGGAACGAAAUCUAAAAAGAAAGAAAAAAAGAUUAAAA